GUAAGGAAUAUUGGUCAAUGGACGAAAGUCUGAACCAGCCAUGCCGCGUGGAGGAUGAAGGUCCUCUGGAUUGUAAACUUCUUUUAUCUGGGACGAAAAAAGGCUUUUCUAAGUCGUCUGACGGUACCAGAUGAAUAAGCACCGGCUAACUCCGUGCCAGCAGCCGCGGUAAUACGGAGGGUGCAAGCGUUAUCCGGAUUCACUGGGUUUAAAGGGUGCGUAGGUGGGUUGGUAAGUCAGUGGUGAAAUCCCCAAGCUUAACUUGGGAACUGCCAUUGAUACUAUCAGUCUUGAAUACCGUGGAGGUCAGCGGAAUAUGUCAUGUAGCGGUGAAAUGCUUAGAUAUGACAUAGAACACCAAUUGCGAAGGCAGCUGGCUACACGAAUAUUGACACUGAGGCACGAAAGCGUGGGGAUCAAACAGGAUUAGAAACCCCGGUAGUCC
rnacentral:rRNA from 1 species